UUAAGCGACUAAGCGUACACGGUGGAUGCCCUGGCAGUCAGAGGCGAUGAAGGACGUGCUAAUCUGCGAAAAGCGUCGGUAAGGUGAUAUGAACCGUUAUAACCGGCGAUGUCCGAAUGGGGAAACCCAGUGCAAUUCGUUGCACUAUCGUUAACUGAAUACAUAGGUUAACGAGGCGAACCGGGGGAACUGAAACAUCUAAGUACCCCGAGGAAAAGAAAUCAACCGAGAUUCCCCCAGUAGCGGCGAGCGAACGGGGAGCAGCCCAGAGUCUGAAUCAGCUUGUGUGUUAGUGGAACGGUCUGGAAAGUCCGACGGUACAGGGUGAUAGUCCCGUACACCAAAAUGCACAGGUUGUGAACUCGAAGAGUAGGGCGGGACACGUGGUAUCCUGUCUGAAUAUGGGGGGACCAUCCUCCAAGGCUAAAUACUCCUGACUGACCGAUAGUGAACCAGUACCGUGAGGGAAAGGCGAAAAGAACCCCGGCGAGGGGAGUGAAAAAGAACCUGAAACCGUGUACGUACAAGCAGUGGGAGCACCUUCGGGUGUGACUGCGUACCUUUUGUAUAAUGGGUCAGCGACUUAUAUUCUGUAGCAAGGUUAACCGUAUAGGGGAGCCGCAGGGAAACCGAGUCUUAACUGGGCGUUAAGUUGCAGGGUAUAGACCCGAAACCCGGUGAUCUAGCCAUGGGCAGGUUGAAGGUUGGGUAACACUAACUGGAGGACCGAACCGACUAAUGUUGAAAAAUUAGCGGAUGACUUGUGGCUGGGGGUGAAAGGCCAAUCAAACCGGGAGAUAGCUGGUUCUCCCCGAAAGCUAUUUAGGUAGCGCCUCGUGAAUUCAUCUUCGGGGGUAGAGCACUGUUUCGGCUAGGGGGUCAUCCCGACUUACCAACCCGAUGCAAACUACGAAUACCGAAGAAUGUUAUCACGGGAGACACACGGCGGGUGCUAACGUCCGUCGUGAAGAGGGAAACAACCCAGACCGCCAGCUAAGGUCCCAAAGUCAUGGUUAAGUGGGAAACGAUGUGGGAAGGCACAGACAGCCAGGAUGUUGGCUUAGAAGCAGCCAUCAUUUAAAGAAAGCGUAAUAGCUCACUGGUCGAGUCGGCCUGCGCGGAAGAUGUAACGGGGCUAAACCAUGCACCGAAGCUGCGGCAGCGACACUAUGUGUUGUUGGGUAGGGGAGCGUUCUGUAAGCCUGCGAAGGUGUGCUGUGAGGCAUGCUGGAGGUAUCAGAAGUGCGAAUGCUGACAUAAGUAACGAUAAAGCGGGUGAAAAGCCCGCUCGCCGGAAGACCAAGGGUUCCUGUCCAACGUUAAUCGGGGCAGGGUGAGUCGACCCCUAAGGCGAGGCCGAAAGGCGUAGUCGAUGGGAAACAGGUUAAUAUUCCUGUACUUGGUGUUACUGCGAAGGGGGGACGGAGAAGGCUAUGUUAGCCGGGCGACGGUUGUCCCGGUUUAAGCAUGUAGGCUGGUUGUCCAGGCAAAUCCGGAUAAUCAAGGCUGAGGUGUGAUGACGAGGCACUACGGUGCUGAAGUAACAAAUGCCCUGCUUCCAGGAAAAGCCUCUAAGCAUCAGGUAACAUUAAAUCGUACCCCAAACCGACACAGGUGGUCAGGUAGAGAAUACCAAGGCGCUUGAGAGAACUCGGGUGAAGGAACUAGGCAAAAUGGUGCCGUAACUUCGGGAGAAGGCACGCUGGUGUGUAGGUGAAGCCCCUGCGGGUGGAGCUGAGACCAGUCGAAGAUACCAGCUGGCUGCAACUGUUUAUUAAAAACACAGCACUGUGCAAACACGAAAGUGGACGUAUACGGUGUGACGCCUGCCCGGUGCCGGAAGGUUAAUUGAUGGGGUUAUCCGUAAGGAGAAGCUCUUGAUCGAAGCCCCGGUAAACGGCGGCCGUAACUAUAACGGUCCUAAGGUAGCGAAAUUCCUUGUCGGGUAAGUUCCGACCUGCACGAAUGGCGUAAUGAUGGCCAGGCUGUCUCCACCCGAGACUCAGUGAAAUUGAACUCGCUGUGAAGAUGCAGUGUACCCGCGGCAAGACGGAAAGACCCCGUGAACCUUUACUAUAGCUUGACACUGAACAUUGAGCCUUGAUGUGUAGGAUAGGUGGGAGGCUUUGAAGCGUGGACGCCAGUCUGCGUGGAGCCAACCUUGAAAUACCACCCUUUAAUGUUUGAUGUUCUAACGUUGGCCCCUGACCGGGGUUGCGGACAGUGUCUGGUGGGUAGUUUGACUGGGGCGGUCUCCUCCCAAAGCGUAACGGAGGAGCACGAAGGUUAGCUAAUCCUGGUCGGACAUCAGGAGGUUAGUGCAAUGGCAUAAGCUAGCUUGACUGCGAGCGUGACGGCGCGAGCAGGUGCGAAAGCAGGUCAUAGUGAUCCGGUGGUUCUGAAUGGAAGGGCCAUCGCUCAACGGAUAAAAGGUACUCCGGGGAUAACAGGCUGAUACCGCCCAAGAGUUCAUAUCGACGGCGGUGUUUGGCACCUCGAUGUCGGCUCAUCACAUCCUGGGGCUGAAGUAGGUCCCAAGGGUAUGGCUGUUCGCCAUUUAAAGUGGUACGCGAGCUGGGUUUAGAACGUCGUGAGACAGUUCGGUCCCUAUCUGCCGUGGGCGCUGGAGAAUUGAGGGGGGCUGCUCCUAGUACGAGAGGACCGGAGUGGACGCAUCACUGGUGUUCGGGUUGUCAUGCCAAUGGCACUGCCCGGUAGCUAAAUGCGGAAGAGAUAAGUGCUGAAAGCAUCUAAGCACGAAACUUGCCCCGAGAUGAGUUCUCCCUGAGACUUUAAGUCUCCUGAAGGAACGUUGAAGACGACGACGUUGAUAGGCCGGGUGUGUAAGCGCAGCGAUGCGUUGAGCUAACCGGUACUAAUGAACCGUGAGGCUUAACCUU
rnacentral:rRNA from 1 species